GCCUGGGUGGCUCAGCAGGUUGAGCAGCUGACUUCGGCUCAGGUCACGAGCUCACGGUGCGUGGGUUCGAGCCCCGUGUCGGGCU
rnacentral:tRNA from 1 species